rnacentral:rRNA from 1 species
UACAGAGGGGGCAAGCGUUGUUCGGAAUUACUGGGCGUAAAGGGCGCGUAGGCGGCCUGCUAAGUCGAACGUGAAAUCCCUGGGCUCAACCCAGGAACUGCGUCCGAUACUGGUUGGCUUGAAUCCGGGAGAGGGAUGUGGAAUUCCAGGUGUAGCGGUGAAAUGCAUAGAUACAAUCAAGAACUCCGAUUGCGUAGGCAGCUAACUAGGCUGUAACUGACGCUGAGGCACGAAAGCGUGGGGAGCGAACAGG